AGAGUUUGAUCCUGGCUCAGAACGAACGCUGGCGGCAUGGAUUAGGCAUGCAAGUCGAACGGUGAACUUCGCUUCGGUGAAGGAAUCAGUGGCGAAAGGGUGAGUAACGCGUGAGUAACUUGCCCCCAAGUUGGGAAUAACUCUGGGAAACUAGAGCUAAUACCGAAUAUAGCUAUUAUAUCGCAUGUUAUUUUAGCUAAAGAUUUAUCGCUUGGGGAUAGGCUCGCGUCCCAUUAGCUUGUUGGUAAGGUAACGGCUUACCAAGGCAACGAUGGGUAGCUGGUCUGAGAGGACGAUCAGCCACACUGGGACUGAGACACUGCCCAGACUCCUACGGGAGGCUGCAGUCGAGAAUCUUCCGCAAUGGGCGAAAGCCUGACGGAGCAAUGCCGCGUGCAGGAUGAAGGCCUUCGGGUUGUAAACUGCUGUCACUGGGGACGAAUAUUGACGGUACCCAGAGAGGAAGCCACGGCUAACUACGUGCCAGCAGCCGCGGUAAUACGUAGGUGGCGAGCGUUGUUCGGAUUUAUUGGGCGUAAAGGGUCCGCAGGGGGCUAGUUAAGUCUGAUGUGAAAUCUCACGGCUCAACCGUGAAACUGCAUUGGAAACUGAUUAGCUAGAGUAUCGGAGAGGAGAGUGGAAUUCCAGGUGUAGCGUGGAAUGCGUAGAUAUCUGGAGGAACACCAAUAGCGAAGGCAGCUCUCUGGACGAUUACUGACCCUCAGGGACGAAAGCGUGGGUAGCAAACAGGAUUAGAUACCCUGGUAGUCCACGCUGUAAACGUUGUGAACUUGGUGUGGGGAGAUUUAGCCCUCUCCGUGCCGGAGCUAACGCAUUAAGUUCACCGCCUGGGGACUACGGCCGCAAGGCUAAAACUCAAAGGAAUUGACGGGGGCCCGCACAAGCGGUGGAGCAUGUGGCUUAAUUCGAGGCAACGCGAAGAGCCUUACCUGGGUUUGACAUAUACCGGAUUGCUAUGGAAACAUAGCUUCCCUUCGGGGCUGGUAUACAGGUGCUGCAUGGCUGUCGUCAGCUCGUGCCGUGAGGUGUUCGGUUAAGUCCGGCAACGAGCGCAACCCGUGUCGUUAGUUGCUACCAGGUAAUGCUGGGCACUCUAGCGAGACUGCCCGUGUUAAGCGGGAGGAAGGCGCGGAUGACGUCAAGUCCGUAUGGCCCUUAUAUCCAGGGCUGCACACGUGCUACAAUGACUGGUACAAUGGGACGCAAUACUGCGAAGUGGAGCAAAUCCUGAAAACCAGCCUUAGUUCGGAUUGGAGUCUGCAACUCGACUCCAUGAAGUUGGAAUCGCUAGUAAAGGCGUAUCAGCUACGACGCCUUGAAUACGUUCCCGGGCCUUGUACACACCGCCCGUCGCAUCAUGGAAGCUGAUUGCACCCGAAGUCGUUGACUCAACCUGUUUUAAAUAGGAGAGAGACGCCGAAGGUGUGGUUAGUGACUGGGAUGAAGUCGUAACAAGGUA
rnacentral:rRNA from 1 species